rnacentral:lncRNA from 1 species
GAAAAUGGGAGGCAGAGGGGAAGAGCAUGCAGUCAGCACUUGGUGAUCCCUGAGCCAAACUCCACAGCCUCCUGCCUUCUGGCCGGUGACAGAGAUUACCAUCUGGGGGAAGAGGCAGACACAGAUGCCAGCCCAGCCAGGUGGAAGAUAAUAUAUGUUAUAAUAGAGACAUCUUCAAAGCUCUUCCAAAGUGGAGAAUGGCAUCCUGCUAGAGAUUGGCGCCCAAUGAAUGCUAGUAUUAAUGAAUCUGUUAACAAAGGAAAGCUUAGGACACUUUGUGUUUCCCCAAAAGAAUGUUUUAACUUCAGACACAGAGGCCACGCAGUGGGGAUGUGGACUGGAAUGGUAUUGCCUGUGAACUAUGACCUGGCACAAAGUAGCUUAUCAGUAAUGUUUGCCAAUACUGUUUUUAAAGUUCCAGCAGCCAGUCUUCAGAAUUGUCCUCUUUCCUGUGGCCAUGGCCAUGAUGACAUUUUGUUCAUGAAUUCAUGCAUGAUUUAUUUAUUGAGCAUCUACCUCUGGGAACAUGAGAUUUGUUUGUUUUCUCCAAGAGUGAGUGACCCAUGGGGAGCCAUGGGUUCCUGUGUCCAAGACCAGACAUUCUCAGGGAGCAUCUGCUUCCCCCAUCAGGAAGGAACGAGCUUUCAUACCUAGUUUAAGUUAACGAACCCAGUGAGCUAUGAACAGCCUCCUUGCCGGCUGUUGUUCCUCCCUCCAGCCUGUCCUGCCCACUGCAGCUAGACAGAGCUUCCUAAAAGCUUGCUUUCAUCCUGUCACUUCUUACUCGAGGGCCUACAAGAGACUUCCACAUCUGGAUUAUAUCUUUCAAAGCCAGUGUAAUUUGGCCUCUUUCUCUGAGCCAAAUGGACUUCCACUGCUAGUCUUCACCAACCCCAGUUCUGCAUAGUCACGUUCACUCCCUGGUCCUCGAGCAAAUUCAGCUUGUUUUCUGGUUUGAGAGUUCUCAGGCUUGCUCAGGUGGCGGAGCAGUUGGCACCCUGGUGUUCCUUGGGGACACCAUGGCCUACUCUUAUAUUGAAUUCCAAAGUAUAAACUAGGCACCAUUUUACUUGCUAAAGAUUACUUCAUUUGUGGUCAUUAUUAACUCAUGACCCAGAACUGAGAAAUACAUAGCCCGUCAAGCAGGAUUGGCCAUUUUCUUACUGAUCUGUUCAUAUUAACGUGUUCCUUGCUCAUUUGUUUUGCUGAUCCAGUAGGCUAUCAGGAGUAGAUAUUAAUGGUUUAAGAAAAUGUAAUGGAAGAAAAAUACCUCCUUAAAUUUGGGAUCAUUCUAUUUAUUAACUUAGUUUUCUUCCCUUGGAAAUCAGGCAAGCACUGCCAUUUUUCAUGAAAAUGCCUCUGGCCAAUGUGAACUCCAUGACACCAGGGACUUCAGCUGUCUUAAUUAGUGUUAUAGCCCAGCAUCCAGCCUAGGGCCUGGCACAUGGCAGAUCAGGGCUUGAGAUAUUUUGCAGACCCUGCACCUGACGGAUCAGCUGGCACCACCCAGAUCAAUAAACUGCCUCAUCUGAUCUGGCGGCCCCCGCCCAGGAACUGACUGAGCGCAAGAAGACAGCUCCAACUCUAUAUGAUUUCAUCCCUGACCAAUCAGCAUUCCUGGCUCACUGGCUUCCCCCCACCCACCAAGUUAUCCUUAAAAACU